rnacentral:misc_RNA from 1 species
GAUGAAGAACGUAGCGAAAUGCGAUAAGUAAUGUGAAUUGCAGAGUUCAGUGAAUCAUCGAAUCUUUGAACGCACAUUGCGCCCGUCAGUAUUCUGACGGGCAUGCCUGUCCGAGCGUCAUUUCAACCCUCAAGCACUGCUUGGCGUUGGCGGAUUGCGUGGCCUCGCGGCGCUGCAACCGCCCAAAUACAGUGGCGGUCCCGCUGCGGCUCCCUUUGCGUAGUAACUCACCUCGCACUGGACCGGGCGGCGGCCUGCCGUAAAACCCCAACUCACGAAAUGUUGACCUCGGAUCAGGUAGGAAUACCCGCUGAACUUAAGCAUAUCAAUAAGCGGAGGA